GUUUGAUCCUGGCUCAGGACGAACGCUGGCGGCGUGCUUAACACAUGCAAGUCGAACGGAAAGGCCCUGCUUUUGUGGGGUGCUCGAGUGGCGAACGGGUGAGUAACACGUGAGUAACCUGCCCUUGACUUUGGGAUAACUUCAGGAAACUGGGGCUAAUACCGGAUAGGAGCUCCUGCUGCAUGGUGGGGGUUGGAAAGUUUCGGCGGUUGGGGAUGGACUCGCGGCUUAUCAGCUUGUUGGUGGGGUAGUGGCUUACCAAGGCUUUGACGGGUAGCCGGCCUGAGAGGGUGACCGGCCACAUUGGGACUGAGAUACGGCCCAGACUCCUACGGGAGGCAGCAGUGGGGAAUAUUGCACAAUGGGCGGAAGCCUGAUGCAGCAACGCCGCGUGCGGGAUGACGGCCUUCGGGUUGUAAACCGCUUUCGCCUGUGACGAAGCGUGAGUGACGGUAAUGGGUAAAGAAGCACCGGCUAACUACGUGCCAGCAGCCGCGGUGAUACGUAGGGUGCGAGCGUUGUCCGGAUUUAUUGGGCGUAAAGGGCUCGUAGGUGGUUGAUCGCGUCGGAAGUGUAAUCUUGGGGCUUAACCCUGAGCGUGCUUUCGAUACGGGUUGACUUGAGGAAGGUAGGGGAGAAUGGAACUCCUGGUGGAGCGGUGGAAUGCGCAGAUAUCAGGAGGAACACCAGUGGCGAAGGCGGUUCUCUGGGCCUUUCCUGACGCUGAGGAGCGAAAGCGUGGGGAGCGAACAGGCUUAGAUACCCUGGUAGUCCACGCCGUAAACGGUGGGUACUAGGUGUGGGGUCCAUUCCACGGGUUCCGCGCCGUAGCUAACGCUUUAAGUACCCCGCCUGGGGAGUAC
rnacentral:rRNA from 1 species